rnacentral:rRNA from 1 species
GGUUUGACCUCAGAUCAGACAAGGAUACCCGCUGAACUUAAGCAUAUCAAUAAGCGGAGGAAAAGAAACCAACAGGGAUUGCCUCAGUAACGGCGAGUGAAGCGGCAACAGCUCAAAUUUGAAAUCUGAAGCCUUUGGCUUUCGAGUUGUAAUUUGAAGAGGAUGCUUCGGUUGUGGCCCUGGCCUAAGUUCCUUGGAACAGGACGUCGCAGAGGGUGAGAAUCCCGUACGCGGCUGGCGGCUUACUUCCAUGUGUAGCUCCUUCGAAGAGUCGAGUUGUUUGGGAAUGCAGCUCAAAACGGGUGGUAAAUUUCAUCUAAAGCUAAAUACUGGCGAGAGACCGAUAGCGCACAAGUAGAGUGAUCGAAAGAUGAAAAGCACUUUGAAAAGAGAGUUAAACAGUACGUGAAAUUGUUGAAAGGGAAGCGCUUGCAAUUAGACUUGCUUUCGGUUGAUCAACGUUCCUUUUGGUUCGUGCACUCUGCCGUUUGCAGGCCAGCAUCGGUUAGGGCGGUGGGACAAAGGCUGUGGGAAUGUAGCUCCCUCCGGGGAGUGUUAUAGCCCACUGCGUCAUGCCACCAGCUCCUGACCGAGGUCCGCGCUUUUGCUAGNAUGCUGGCUUAAUAGUUGUAAGCGACCCGUCUUGAAACACGGACCAAGGAGUCUAACAUCUAUGCGAGUGUUUGGGUGUCAAACCCAUACGCGUAAUGAAAGUGAACGGAGGUGGGAGUCUUCGGAUGCACCAUCGACCGAUCCUGAUGUUCUCGGAUGGAUUUGAGUAAUGAGCAUAGCUGUUGGGGACCCGAAAGAUGGUGAACUAUGCCCUGAAUANGGUGAAAGCCAGAGGAAAA